rnacentral:rRNA from 1 species
UACGUAGGGGGCAAGCGUUGUCCGGAAUCAUUGGGCGUAAAGCGCGUGUAGGCGGCUAGGUAAGUCUGCUCUGAAAGCCCGGGGCUCAACCCCGGGAGGCGGGUGGAUACUGUCUAGCUCGAGUCCGGAAGAGGAGUGUGGAAUUCCUGGUGUAGCGGUGAAAUGCGCAGAUAUCGAGAGGAACACCAGUGGCGAAGGCGAGUCUCUGGACGACUCCUGACACUGAGGCACGAAAGCUAGGGGAGCAAACAGG